GAUGAAGAACGUAGCGAAAUGCGAUACUUGGUGUGAAUUGCAGAAUCCCGUGAACCAUCGAGUCUUUGAACGCAAGUUGCGCCCGAAGCCACUAGGCCGAGGGCACGCCUGCCUGGGCGUCACACGCCGUUGCCCCCCCAUCUACUCCUUCGGGAUUGCGGGGGGGCGGAUGAUGGCCUCCCGUGCGCCUAGCCGCGCGGUUGGCAUAAAUACCAAGUCCUCGGCGACGCACGCCACGACAAUCGGUGGUUGCGAAACCUCGGAUGCCCGUCGUGUGCGUUCGUCGCGCAUCGAGGGCUCGAAAAAAUGCUCGGCUCCGGCUGGGCUUUCAACGCGACCCCAGGUCAGGCGGGGUUACCCGCUGAAUUUAAGCAUAUCAAUAAGCGGAGGA
rnacentral:misc_RNA from 1 species